AUAAGAAAUAACUAUGUUAAAUUUUAAGAAAAUAAGAUAAGCUGUCCUGAAGUUACGGUGCGACAUGUUUAUGCUGGACAGACGGAUAGAUAGACGGACAGACGGACGGACCGAAUGACUGAUAGAUGGAGGAACGGACGGAUGGAAGGACGGACGGACAGACGGGUGUAUACAAUAAUACGUCCUGUCAAAAUUGGGACGGGCGUGUAAAAACGCAAAGAAAUGAAAAAAAAAACUCGUAAUUAAAGGUCAAUAAGUUUUAUUAGGAUAUCGGCCAAGUCGAUUUAUUUGUAUAUUUGUCUGCCUUAUCAUUUUUGCUAUAUAACUUUUAUAUAUAUUUGAAAAAAAU
rnacentral:lncRNA from 1 species